UUAUAGAUUACUACAAGAUAUUGAAUAUAGUUCCCUGUGCUAUACAUGUGCCAGAGCUUCUUCACUGGAAACCUGGAUUCUCACAAAGACUCUUUUAUUGUGGGUGAUUAUCUAAGCCACUGUUCUCCAGGGGCUCUUGGACCAUGGCCAAGAGGAGCUGGAGCUGGAACACAGGCCACUUCAGGGUCCACAGCUGGACCAAGUUUUAGAUUGGUUCCCUGUCCUCUUCACCUUGGAUCUAGAUGGAUGAAGCAGCCCCAUCUGGAACAGCAACAGAGGGGAAUGUGUCUUAUCAGAAGUUAUACAUGGCAU